GUGGAAAUGUUUGCCGGUGAGCAAACAAUGACCGGUAUAUGAGGUUUUCGAUGUUGGAUCAAAUUUUAAGCUCGCAACUGAACUUUGAUUUUAUUCAAAUGGGAAUAAUUCAGUGGCAAGAAGAGAAGAGGUGGCUUCCCUGGCCUUGUGUCCCCCCACAACUCCGUGAAGACUCAAGAAAGCAUUUGAAUCACUCUCGAGAAUGUGCAAACCCAGAUCUAAUAAUAGGCAUGACUAUCAACAACAUUGCUUAGCAAACAUAGUGUGGUGUAGGGAGACAUUAUGUAGGGUUGUUUGUGCAGUUCCAACAAGCUAUUUGAAAGAUGCAGGAUUUUCUUUUAUGCGGUUUGGAUUGGUGUGUGUUUGGACUUUAGAAUUAUAUGUUGCAGUUAAAAUUGUUUAGACUAGUUUUCAGUUUUAGGUGAGAAGGAUGAGAUGUAUCUAAAAGCUUUGGUAGAACUUAGUGGUUGUUUCGGUCAGUAGUUACAAGUUGUAUUAGGCCUUGUUUUGGUAGUAAUGAACAAUAUUGCUCAGGUGGAAUUUGCCAAUUUUUUAAUUUGAUCUAA